rnacentral:rRNA from 1 species
CCUACGGGCGGCAGCAGUGGGGAAUAUUGCACAAUGGGGGAAAGCCUGAUGCAGCGACGCCGCGUGAGCGAUGAAGGAUUUCGGUAUGUAAAGCUCUAUCAGCCGGGAAGAAAAUGACGGUACCUGUCCAAGAAGCCCCGGAUUACUACGUGCCAGCAGCCGCGGUCAUACGUCGGGUGCACGCGUUAUCCGGAUUUACUGGGUGUAACGGGAGCGUAGACGGUCCUGCAAGCCAGAUGUGAAAGCCCGGGGUUCAACCCCGGGACUGCAUUUGGAACGGGAAGGCUAGAGUGUCGGAGAGGCAGGCGGAAUUCCUAGUGUAGCGGUGAAAUGCAUAGAUAGCGCGCAGAACACCGAUUGCGAAGGCAGCACACGGAUCCGAGAUUGACGCUGAGGCACGAAAGCGUGGGUAUCGAACAGGAUUAGAUACCCCAGUAGUC